rnacentral:rRNA from 1 species
GGAAAAUUUGAAAAAUAUAAUUUUUCAACCAUUGUUUAGAUCUGAAAUCAGGUGGGACUACCCGCUGAACUUAAGCAUAUCAAUAAGCGGAGGAAAAGAAACUAACAAGGAUUCCCCUAGUAACGGCGAGUGAAGCGGGAAAAGCUCAAAUUUAAAAUCUGGCAGGUACCCUGUCCGAGUUGUAGUUUCAAGAAGCGUUUUCGGUGCGCGUCCGGGUAUAAGUUCUUUGGAACAGGACAUCAUAGAGGGUGAGAAUCCCGUUUAUGACCCGGAACUGCGUACUAUGUGAUACGUUUUCUAAGAGUCAGGUUGUUUGGGAAUGCAGCCUAAAAUGGGUGGUAAAUUUCAUCUAAAGCUAAAUAUUGGCGAGAGACCGAUAGCGAACAAGUACCGUGAGGGAAAGAUGAAAAGAACUUUGAAAAGAGAGUUAAACAGUACGUGAAAUUGUUGAAAGGGAAACGUUUGAAAUCAGUCGUGCGGGCGGGUAAUCAGCUUGGCCUUUGGGUCUUGUGCACUUUCUCGUCUCGCAGGCCAGCGUCGGUUUUGUUUGCCGGAUAAAUGCCAAAGGAAUGUAGCUCCACCUUUCACGAGGAGGGGUCUUAUAGCCCUGGUAAAUACGGCGGUCGAGACCGAGGUCUGCAGUUGAUGCCUCUCGGGGCUGGGGACUCCAUCGCUCAUUCGCACCCGCGCCUAGACAGCUUGCUGACUAGGUGUGUGGUCUGUGGGUGACACGGUGGCCUACC